ACCUGAGUGGCUCAGCUGGUUGAGCAUCUGACUUCAGCUCAGGUGAUGAUCUCGCAGUUUGUGAGUUUGAGCCCCACAUCAGGCU
rnacentral:tRNA from 1 species